UAGGGAAUUUUCCGCAAUGGGCGAAAGCCUGACGGAGCAACGCCGCGUGAGGGAUGAAGGUCUUCGGAUCGUAAACCUUUGUCUAGAGGGAAGAUAAUGACGGUACCUCUGGAGGAAGCCACGGCUAACUACGUGCCAGCAGCCGCGGUAAUACGUAGGUGGCAAGCGUUGUCCGGAAUUACUGGGCGUAAAGGGCGUGUAGGCGGCCUUUUAAGUUAGACGUGAAAUCCCGAGGCUUAACCACGGGACUGCGUUUAAAACUGGAGGGCUUGAGGAUCGGAGAGGGCAGUGGAAUUCCCAGUGUAGCGGUGAAAUGCGUAGAUAUUGGGAGGAACACCAGUGGCGAAGGCGACUGCCUGGACGACACCUGACGCUGAGGCGCGAAAGCUAGGGGAGCAAACGGG
rnacentral:rRNA from 1 species